rnacentral:tRNA from 1 species
GGCGGCGUAACUCAGUGGUAGAGUAGACGGCUCAUACCCGUCGUGUCAGUGGUUCGAUCCCACUCGCCGCCA